rnacentral:rRNA from 1 species
CGUGUACUACCCGAUGGCACUGGUGCACGAUCCGUUUGUCCCAACGCCGGAUAGUGUCGAUCGCCAGAGCAAGCAGAAGCAGCGCAACUUCGCCGACAUGGUCGCGUACAUGGACGCCAUCGUCGGCCGGAUCGUGCAGCAGCUCGAUGCCAGCGGCGUGCGCGAGAACACGCUCAUCAUCUUCACUGCCGACAACGGCACGCACCGCACCAUCACAUCGCACGUGCACGACGUCGAGGUGCGUGGCGGGAAGGGACGGACAACAGACGCAGGGACGCACGUGCCGCUCAUCGUGAGCUGGCCCGCUGGUGCGGCUCGCGGGACGGU